GUGUGUGCGUUAACUGGGGUGACGCUGCCCUCCCAGCUCUACCAGUAACGACCCCACCAGUUCCUCGGCACUUGUGCCUCCACUGCCCGUCGGUACAGCACAGACAGCCACGCCAGCUCUAGUUAGUGGGGGGGACCUAAC
ensembl:snoRNA SNORA59A small nucleolar RNA, H/ACA box 59A